rnacentral:rRNA from 1 species
GACGAACGCUGGCGGCGUGCUUAACACAUGCAAGUCGAACGGUCUACCUCGACUGAAACCUUCGGGUUGACGACGAGAUCUAGAUAGUGGCGGACGGGUGAGUAACACGUGAAUAAUCUGUCCUCAAGUCUGGGAUAACCUGGCGAAAGUCGGGCUAAUCCGAGGUAAGCUGAGAGUGUGGCAUCACACAAUCAGAAAAGGUGGCUUUGCCAUCGUUUGAGGAGGAGUUCGCGGUAGAUUAGCUAGCUGGUGAGGUAAUGGCUCACCAGGGCAACAAUCUAUAGCUGGUCUGAGAGGACGAUCAGUCACACUGGAACUGAGACACGGUCCAGACUCCUACGGGAGGCAGCAGUGGGGAAUCUUCCACAAUGGGCGAAAGCCUGAUGGAGCAACGCCGCGUGAGUGAAGAAGGUCUUAGGAUUGUAAAGCUCUGUCCUUAGGGAAGAACCGUGGGUAUAGUAAAUGCUACCCACCUGACGGUACCUUUGGAGGAAGCACUGGCUAACUACGUGCCAGCAGCCGCGGUAAUACGUAGAGUGCAAGCGUUGUCCGGAAUUAUUGGGCGUAAAGGGUACGCAGGCGGAUAAUCAAGUCAAGCGUGAAAGGUGUCGGCUUAACCGACAGACUGCGUUUGAAACUGGUUAUCUUGAGUGUAACAGAGGAGAGUGGAAUUCCUAGUGUAGUGGUGAAAUACGUAGAUAUUAGGAAGAACACCAGUGGCGAAGGCGACUCUCUGGGUUAACACUGACGCUGAGGUACGAAAGCUGGGGGAGCGAACGGGAUUAGAUACCCCGGUAGUCCCAGCCGUAAACGAUGGAUACUAGGUGUUGGAGGUUCGAAUCCUUCAGUGCCGGAGUUAACGCAUUAAGUAUCCCGCCUGGGG